rnacentral:tRNA from 1 species
UUUUGAUUUUUUUGUGAAUUUAUUGUAAAUAAAUUUUUAUUAUCAAAUA